UUCCAGGGGGAACACGCACCAAAAAACAGACAUGUCAUGUAACAGUCAGCCUUAUCUUUAUCUGUGUUUUACUGUUUUGAUGAAUGUUCGGAUGUUUUUCUACAGCACCCAGUGAGGCUUCGACUAAACAAGAGCUGCUUGCUUUGGAGCGGCUUGCACUAUCGCCUCCCACUUCACACAGACCUGCUGGGAAUCCCAGCAUCCCGGCAACAGCAGUUCUCACAGGUUACCUUUGUGUCCCCUUAUCAGCAGGCAAAAGUUGUCCAACAGGGCAAUGCUGCUCAAGAAUACAAAUGAAGACGAACAGCUUUACACAUACAGACACACCUGUCGUGUGUGCCAUCAACACGUCUCUCUCCAGAGUGAGCAGACAUAAAGCCAGCCAACCUGUUGGAGUGAAUAGACUGUGGACAUCUGAGAGCACCUUCUGUCAGGGAAACAGCUAGUCUGCUGGUGGGAAGGUGGCUCUGACAGAAAAACACAAACCUCUGAAAUCAACAUUCUUCUGUGGUCAUUUUCAAGCUACGCAACCUAUGACAGAGGAGUUUGAAAUGCCAGGUAGGGAGAUGGUCAUUGAUGCUAAUGUAUGUUUACAUGUUGUUGUUUUUUUAACCUCGGUUCUAACUCAGUGCACAACUCCUAUUACUAUUGUAACAAUGAUAUUAUAUUGUAAUCUACAAAAGCAAUAUGUGUAAGCACUGAUCUCAAGUUAAA